GAGAAAGCAAAAUGCGGUGUUCUUCACUACCACAAGCCAUGACUGAAAGUGAAUUGCUGGAAAGCUGAAACCCAGAAAUAUCUUGUUGUCUCCCAGGCUGUACUCUUCCCCAUCAUGAAGAUCUGAAGGAAACAAUAGGGUUUUCAGCCUCAUGUAGCUGAGAGAGCUGUGUGAGCUGUGCCUUACCAGCAAAUCCCUCCUGAGAAAUCCCCUGGGAGGCUGCCGCUGCUGUCUGAAGAGGGAAAAGUGGACAGGAAGCAGGUUAGUGCUGUUCAAGGAAGACAACGUGCUUGGCAGGGCAUCUGGCUUAAAUCACAUCCCCAGCUAGAAGUUAGAAGCCAAGUUUGGGUCUACCAGCUGUGCCUGGCAUGGUAAGUGGAGGAAAUUCUGCUGUUUCUGUCUGUGUGGUCUCUCCACAGAGGGUUUGGUCUUGGCUUGGAAGGGUGAACAUCUGAAAAUGAAGUGUGAGACUCUGGCUGAUGGGAGACAGGACAUCAUUAUGAAAGUAUUCUGUGCAGAAGAUGACCAUGGCCAGAAAUGCCCUGCUCACUUCAGGAGAGCCUCCACUGUGAGCAGACACAUCAGCUGUAGGAGAUUUUGUCUGAGCUGCUGCAGGAGCCUGUGACAAUCUGCAGAACCCAAAUAUUCAGAGCUUGUCUGCUUUCCUGGCAUCAGCAGGAAUUGAGAACAGAGCUUGGCACAUCUUUUGGCCUCCUUCUUU
rnacentral:lncRNA from 1 species